GGUUCUAAACAAACUCUUGCUAUUUCACUCUUAAUCUCUUUUUUGUAUCCAGAAAUCUCCUGCAGGGGAAAAUAGCAGCUGUGUGCUCCCGCGCCGCCCUCUGCUCCCCCUCUUGUCACUUUCUCUUCCUAUCUUGAGGGUUCUAUCUUCCUCAUCAUCAUCAUCA
ensembl:ncRNA T03F7.15 ncRNA